rnacentral:rRNA from 1 species
GAUGAACGCUAGCGAUAGGCUUAACACAUGCAAGUCGAGGGGCAGCAUGGUCUUAGCUUGCUAAGGCUGAUGGCGACCGGCGCACGGGUGCGUAACGCGUAUGCAACUUGCCUCACAGAGGGGGAUAACCCGUCGAAAGACGGACUAAUACCGCGUACACUCUAUGUUGGGCAUCCAAUGUAGAGGAAAUGAAAUUCGCUGUGAGAUAGGCAUGCGUCCCAUUAGCUAGUUGGUGAGGUAACGGCUCACCAAGGCGACGAUGGGUAGGGGAACUGAGAGGUUGAACCCCCACACUGGUACUGAGACACGGACCAGACUCCUACGGGAGGCAGCAGUGAGGAAUAUUGGUCAAUGGGCGAGAGCCUGAACCAGCCAAGUCGCGUGAAGGAUGACUGUCUUAUGGAUUGUAAACUUCUUUUAGACGGGAAUAACAAGAGUCACGUGUGGCUCCCUGCAUGUACCGGAUGAAUAAGCAUCGGCUAACUCCGUG